AUUGAACGCUGGCGGAAUGCUUUACACAUGCAAGUCGAACGGCAGCACGGGGGCAACCCUGGUGGCGAGUGGCGAACGGGUGAGUAAUACAUCGGAACGUGCCCAGUCGUGGGGGAUAACGUAGCGAAAGUUACGCUAAUACCGCAUACGAUCUACGGAUGAAAGCGGGGGACCGUAAGGCCUCGCGCGAUUGGAGCGGCCGAUGUCAGAUUAGGUAGUUGGUGAGGUAAAGGCUCACCAAGCCGACGAUCUGUAGCUGGUCUGAGAGGACGACACGCCACACGGGGACUGAGACACGGCCCAGACUCCUACGGGAGGCAGCAGUGGGGAAUUUUGGACAAUGGGCGCAAGCCUGAUCCGGCCAUUCCGCGUGCAGGACGAAGGCCUUCGGGUUGUAAACUGCUUUUGUACGGAACGAAAAGGCUCUGGUUAAUACCUGGGGCUCAUGACGGUACCGUAAGAAUAAGCACCGGCUAACUACGUGCCAGCAGCCGCGGUAA
rnacentral:rRNA from 1 species